AUGACGUGGACUGGCCGAGCGCCCACGGAGCCGCGGGGGACUAAUAUAUAGAAAUACGGCGACGACGGCGACGGCGACGCUGCGGGCUACGAGCGGCGCUACGGUUCGGCGGUCCCUCCCUCUCCCCCGAAUCCCCGCGCCUAGCCCGCGCCCUUCGUUGCGGCUGCGAUUCGGAGCAGCGCCGGGCCGAGCAGGGGCUGGCAGUGCUGCAGCUGCGAUUCGGAGCGGAGGCGUCCUGCGGUGGCAUCCAGCGGCGUCCAACGGCGGCUGUCGUGGUCGAUUGAAGAGCGUCCCCCCGCGUCUCCUCCGUAUGCAGAUCUUGAUGAUUAUUUUUUCCUGUUGUGGCCGUGAAGCAGCAGCGACGCUGAGGAAUUGCGGUGACAUGACACGUGCACACACAUCCUCUCUCCCAUACUGAUUUUUCCGCAAAAUUCUCCUCCUAUGUUUUUUCCCGUGUUGUACAACAUGCAGAUCAUAGAUUGUGGAAGUUAUAUUUUUGUGUGCACAUAUGGGGUCUCUCUAAGUUUACGGAUUCCAUGUAGUUUUACAAGCAGGUGCCGGCGUGGUGGUGCUAAAUCCAAAAAUACUGGACACACGGUUUACUAACCUCUUAGUUCAGUAAUUGUUUUGGGAAUUCUAUGAAAUUUCUAUAGGGUGGAUCAUAUUAGCCCGCUUACAUGCUUUUCAGUAAUCUGCCAUGUUGUCUUUGUUGUUUUGGUCCAGUAAUUUUGAACUACUGGAAUGUGGCAGGAGGGUACCAUCAGAUUUUAUUUUUAGUAGUCCACCCAUUGCGUUCAGUAAUUUUAAUCCCUUUUUAGUAAUCCAUGUUUUGUUGGGUAGAGCAUUAUUAGUUAUAGAUUUUUCUUUUUUUGGUGUAGUUUGAUCUACUGGAAUGAUGCAGGAAGGUUUCAUCGGAUUUGAUUCAGCAGUCCAUCCAUUGAGUCUAUCAAUAGCCCAGCAAAAUUACUGACAAGUUUGAGUAGUAAAUUUAUUUUGUACACAGAGGGGUUUCAAACUUAUGCCGAGGGCGAACCUUAGUGUUGUUAUUCUUGAAGGCUUCAAAGUUAUAUCAAUCAGGGACAGCGAAGGCCGUCAGUUUCGGAUGGAUCUCACGCAAACCCCACCUUUCAGAUGAUGCGCAGGAUGGAGCGGGCACAGAAGAAUGAUAAUCCACCAAUGUUGUGUUGGUGUCUUGUACCCCGGGGAAGGAGGGUGAUUGUGUUGGUAAUUUUUGGUGUCAAUAUCCCAUCCCGAUUUUGGUGUUCAUGGAUGCGCAGUUUUUGAUUGGUGCAGUUGUUCUAGGGUUUCUUCGAUCUAAAUCGCGCUCGUGCUAGUUGUGAAGGAACGACGACGAUGAGAAAUCGAGAGCUUCAGGAGAUGGCUCCAGCAAGUCCAUAAUAAAGACACAAGCUUCAACUCAUGGAUAUGCCUCUACCUCUAACAAGUCAAUGACAAACCAUAAGAAGGAUGUGAUGAUGCAGAAUGGCACGUAUAAAUUAGGAUCUAUUUUUUUCGUGUAGCAUAGGAUGUGUGCCUGGGUGGAGAAUGGCAAUUGAAACAAAUAUGUAUACAUUAUAAAUUCUUUUUGAAACUCUGUGAUUUCGGCAAUUCAGUAAUUCUGAACUACGUAUGACCUGCGUCUGGAUAAAUGUGUGGAUCAUUUUUUAUAUCCCAAACCCCAAUGUAUACCUUGCCUGUAUCAGUAA